rnacentral:rRNA from 1 species
CAGUAGCCACGGUAAGACGGAGGGUGCUAGCGUUGUUCGGAAUCACUGGGCGUAAAGGGCGCGUAGGCGGCCUGUUAAGUCGGAUGUGAAAGCCCGGGGCUCAACCCCGGAACUGCAUCCGAGACUGGCAGGCUUGAGACCGGGAGAGGAGGGUGGAAUAUCCAGUGUAGAGGUGAAAUUCGUAGAUAUUCGGAAGAACACCAGUGGCGAAGGCGACUGACUGGACAAGUAUUGACGCUGAGGUGCGAAAGCGUGGGGAGCAAACAGGAUUAGAUACCCCCGUAGUCCCUGUCUCUUAUAC